AUCCUUUUGUAGUUCAUGAGAUGAUGAUUGGGUGUUCACACGCAUGUGUGAAAUGUGCCACCCUCAACCUUAUUAUGAGGUCGGCACAUUACCCGUCUGACA
ensembl:snoRNA